rnacentral:rRNA from 1 species
CAGCCGCCACGGUAAUACGUAGGGUCCGAGCGUUGUCCGGAAUUAUUGGGCGUAAAGGGCUCGUAGGCGGUUUGUCGCGUCGGGAGUGAAAACCAGCAGCUUAACUGCUGGCCUGCUUUCGAUACGGGCAGACUUGAGGCAUUCAGGGGAGAACGGAAUUCCUGGUGUAGCGGUGAAAUGCGCAGAUAUCAGGAGGAACACCGGUGGCGAAGGCGGUUCUCUGGGAAUGUUCUGACGCUGAGGAGCGAAAGUGUGGGGAGCGAACAGGAUUAGAUACCCCUGUAGUCCCUGUCUCUUAUAU